rnacentral:rRNA from 1 species
AAACGUCCCAGUUCGGAUUGUAGUCUGCAACCCGACUACAUGAAGCUGGAGUUACUAGUAAUCGCAGAUCAGAAUGCUGCGGUGAAUGCGUUCCCGGGUCUUGUACACACCGCCCGUCACACCACGGAAGUUGGGGGCGCCCGAAGCCACUUAGCUAACCCUUUUGGGAAGCGAGUGUCGAAGGUGAAAUCAAUAACUGGGGUGAAGUCGUAACAAGGUACC